GCGACGACGAGUCGGAUUCGGGUGUUCCUUGCGGUUGUUCUCGGACGUAGGGAGUUACACUUAUUCAGUCUAUUAGAUCAUCAUUCUGCGAUUAAAGCUUUUUUUGAAAAUCAAGUAUAUUUCAACAAAUGUGAAUGUGAAUUAAAGUGCAUUUAAAUCUAUAAGGUAACAGUGCAAGCAGUCUAUAAACUUAUGUUUCUGCAGAACAAUAGUUGUCUAAAUAAUUGAGUAUAAAAUGAUACGGGUGAAUGCAUAGAAUAGAGUGUACAAAUCUAAGUGUAUUUUCUGCUUUCGGUCUAUUAGAUUAUCUUCCUGCGAUGCAAGUUUUUUAAGAAUAUCAAGUAUAUUACAAGAAAAGAGAAUGUACAUCGGAGUGCAUUUUAAUCUAAUAGAUGUAAGUGAUAGCAGUCUAUUCUAGCUGCAUGCUCUCGAUAAGCAGAUUUCUUCCUUAUCCUAUGCGACGACUGGCGCUACCAUCCUCACCACUCAUUCUUUGGCAAAGCUUCUAUAGCGCUAGCACUCUAUCACGGCUUACAACGUCUCUAUGGGAACGUUAAUGUUUCCAUAGUUACAAUAGCUUUCUUCUUCCGUUAUUAUAAAUAAAGAAAUGAAUAAGGAAGUUACACGUGCUCGAUCAACUACGCAUUUUUGUUAUCCAUUCUUGUUUUGUAAUAGUUAACGAAUAAAAAAAAUGUUGUAUAAAAA
rnacentral:lncRNA from 1 species